UGACUUGGGUAUAGGGGCGAAAGACUAAUCGAACCAUCUAGUAGCUGGUUUCCUCCGAAGUUUCCCUCAGGAUAGCUAGAGCUCACGUGCGAGUUUUAUCGGGUAAAGAAAAUGAUUAGAGGCAUCAGGGGUGUAACUCCCUCGACCUAUUCUCAAACUUUAAAUAGGUAAGACGGUGCGACUGCUCCAUUGAGCCGUGCCACGGAAUCGAGAGCUCCAAGUGGUCCAUUUUUGGUAAGAAGAACUGGCGAUGCGGGAUGAACCGAAAGUUGAGUUACGGUGCCAAACUGCACGCUAACCCAAAUCCCACAAAGGGUGUUGGUUGAUUAAGACAGUAGGACGGUGGUCAUGGAAGUCGAAAUCCGCUAAGGAGUGUGUAACAACUCACCUGCCGAAUCAAUUAGCCCCGAAAAUGGAUGGCACUGAAGCGCGUGACCUAUACUCGACCGUCGGAGCAAUUGCCAGGCUUCGAUGAGUAGGAGGACGCGGGGGUCGUUGAGAAACCUUGGGCGUGAGCCUGGGUGGACCGG
rnacentral:ncRNA from 1 species